UACGGAGGGGACUAGCGUUGUUCGGAAUUACUGGGCGUAAAGCGCACGUAGGCGGAUUUGUAAGUCAGGGGUGAAAUCCCGGGGCUCAACCUCGGAACUGCCUUUGAUACUGCAAAUCUCGAGUCCGGAAGAGGUGAGUGGAAUUCCUAGUGUAGAGGUGAAAUUCGUAGAUAUUAGGAGGAACACCGGUGGCGAAGGCGGGUCUCUGGGCCGAUACUGACGCAGAGGAGCGAAAGCGUGGGGAGCGAACAGG
rnacentral:rRNA from 1 species